GAUGAACGCUGGCGGCGUGCCUAAUACAUGCCAGUCGAGCGAACGGACGAGAAGCUUGCUUCUCUGAUGUUAGCGGCGGACGGGUGAGUAACACGUGGAUAACCUACCUAUAAGACUGGGAUAACUUCGGGAAACCGUAGCUAAUACCGGAUAAUAUUUUGAACCGCAUGGUUCAAAAGUGAAAGACGGUCUUGCUGUCACUUAUAGAUGGAUCCGCGCUGCAUUAGCUAGUUGGUAAGGUAACGGCUUACCAAGGCAACGAUGCAUAGCCGACCUGAGAGGCUGGGCAGCAACAAUGAGACAGAGAUACGGAACAGACUCAUACGGGACGCAGCAGCGGGGAGUGUUGGACAAUGGGCGGAAGCCUGAACAAGUCAUAGCGCGUGGGUGAAGAAGGGGUUCGGGUUGUAAAGCCAUUUUGUCGGUACAAAAAAGGAGCAGCUCAAUACACCGCGGGCCUGACGGGACCCAAAGAAUAAGCAACGGCGAACUUCGUG
rnacentral:rRNA from 1 species